UACGUAGGGUGCGAGCGUUGUCCGGAAUUAUUGGGCGUAAAGGGCUCGUAGGCGGUUUGUCGCGUCGGGAGUGAAAACCUUGGGCUUAACUCAGGGCUUGCUUUCGAUACGGGCAGACUAGAGGUAUGCAGGGGAGAACGGAAUUCCUGGUGUAGCGGUGAAAUGCGCAGAUAUCAGGAGGAACACCGGUGGCGAAGGCGGUUCUCUGGGCCUGUACUGACGCUGAGGAGCGAAAGCGUGGGGAGCGAACAGG
rnacentral:rRNA from 1 species